CCUACGGGAGGCUGCAGUGGGGAAUAUUGCACAAUGGGGGAAACCCUGAUGCAGCGACGCCGCGUGAGUGAAGAAGUAUUUCGGUAUGUAAAGCUCUAUCAGCAGGGAAGAAAAAAGACGGUUCCUGACUAAGAAGCCCCGGCUAACUACGUGCCAGCAGCCGCGGUAAUACGUAGGGGGCAAGCGUUAUCCGGAUUUACUGGGUGUAAAGGGAGGGUAGACGGCGCGGCAAGUCUGAAGUGAAAGGCAGGGGCUUAACCCCUGAACUGCUUUGGAAACUGGCAAACUGGAGUGUGUGAGAGGAUAGUGGAAUUCCAGGUGUAGGAGUGAAAUCCGUAGAUAUCUGGAGGAACAUCAGUGGCGAAGGCGACUAUCUGGCACAUAACUGACGCUGAGGAGCGAAAGCGUGGGUAGCAAACAGGAUUAGAUACCCCUGUAGUC
rnacentral:rRNA from 1 species